GCUCGGGUGGCGAAAUCGGCAGACGCAAGGGACUUAAAAUCCCUCGAGGGCAACCUCAUAUCGGUUCAAGUCCGAUCCCGAGCACCA
rnacentral:tRNA from 1 species